rnacentral:rRNA from 1 species
GGCGAACGCUGGCGGCGUGCUUAACACAUGCAAGUCGAACGGUGAAGCGCCUUCCUUUUUGGUGGGUGUGGAUGAGUGGCGAACGGGUGAGUAACACGUGAGUAACCUGCCCCCUUCUUCUGGAUAACCGCAUGAAAGUGUGGCUAAUACGGGAUAUUCUGGGUCUGUCGCAUGAUGGGUCUGGGAAAGAUAUUGUUUCGGUGGGGGAUGGGCUCGCGGCCUAUCAGCUUGUUGGUGGGGUGAUGGCCUACCAAGGCGGGGACGGGUAGCCGGCCUGAGAGGGUGGACGGUCACACUGGGACUGAGACACGGCCCAGACUCCUACGGGAGGCAGCAGUGGGGAAUAUUGCACAAUGGGCGCAAGCCUGAUGCAGCGACGCCGCGUGAGGGAUGGAGGCCUUCGGGUUGUGAACCUCUUUCGCCAGUGAAGCAGGCCUGCCUCGUUUGUGGGUGGGUUGACGGUAGCUGGAUAAGAAGCGCCGGCUAACUACGUG